UUUUCUCUCUUCCUGAGCGCCUCCAUUCAGUUUCCUGGUUCACAGCGCUGUAAAUGUUCCUUUCUCCUAAGAGCCUCAGAUUUGGUCAGCGAGUUCGCGGAACCUUAUCUGUGCUAUUCACGAGAAGCUAUGCAGCGUCUUUGCUGUCAGCCUUUAUUAUCUUUCAGACAGAAGUAUCUGCCUCCUUUUGGAGUCAGACAGCCUGGCUUCGCCAGUAACUGCAUGACCUCGAGCAAGUUACUUAACCUCCCAACUCUCUUUCCUCGUGUGUAAAAUGUGAGUAAUGUGCCAGUAAUCCGUUUACUGCCCGUUAGCAACAUGUUCACCUUCCCUACCUGCUCUGCAGCUCUGACUGGACCCCGAGCCUUUCUCGCUCCGAAUCCGGGCCAACCUGGGCUCUGGGAGUCAUGGGGAAACAGACAAGUCAGGAUCUCUGGACCAGGAGUUGGGUUUCUGGAGUGUGGAAGGAGAAUCACUGUCAGAGGAGAAACCAAGAAAGGUAUUUGAGCUACGAGGGACACUGGAAGUGAAGACCCCAAAUCGUGCCUCCACCAACAUCCAAAGUCCCUUCUAUAUCCUCACUUCAUU
ensembl:lncRNA